rnacentral:rRNA from 1 species
CCUACGGGGGGCAGCAGUGGGGGAUAUUGCACAAUGGGGGAAACCCUGAUGCAGCGACGCCGCGUGUGGGAAGACGGUCCUCUGGAUUGUAAACCACUGUCCCCAGGGACGAAGAUGACGGUACCUGGGGAGGAAGCUCCGGCUAACUACGUGCCAGCAGCCGCGGUAAUACGUAGGGAGCGCGCGUUGUCCGGAAUUACUGGGGGAAAAGGGAGCGUAGGCGGGGAUGCAAGUUGGGUGUCAAAACUACCGGCUAAACUGGUAGUCGCACUCAAAACUGCAGCUCUUGAGUGAAGUAGGGGCAGGCGGAAUUCCUAGUGUAGCGGUGGAAUGCGUAGAUAUUAGGAGGAACACCAGUGGCGAAGGCGGCCUGCUGGGCUUUUACUGACGCUGAGGCUCGAAAGUGUGGGGAGCAAACAGGAUUAGAUACCCUUGUAGUC